rfam:Algibacter sp. SK-16 scaffold23_cov53_read183, whole genome shotgun sequence.
AUAAUCACGAGUUGGUCAUCAAGUAGAGAAGUCAGCAGAAGUCAUAGUACUUACUUAUUGGAAACGAGUUGUGCCGCAGUAACACAUAGGUCUCACGAGUAAGGAAGAAC